CUGUGAUGAGGGAACAUGUACCCUAGCCAGCAGCUGUUACUUGUCGCCUUUAUCGGGGAUCCUUGGAGGACGGGGGGAAAGAUAGAACGUGACUUUAAACCCGUCUACAUCUGAGGCUUGUGGAGAAAACUGGCUGGUGCUUUCAGCAAAGCCGCCCUUAUUGCUGCCCGCCCUGGGAGUUUUUCGCGGGCACAAGGUAAGCCGGUGGCAACGCACCGGCGAACGCAAAGCGGCUCGUUGACACGCGGGAUUCGAACGCCUGACUUUCUGUUUCACACAAGGAGGCUUUUUCCGCGAGACCACGGGAUCACUGCGGUGGUGUCUAAAUUCCAUUACUGGCUACAGAUUUAAACCGCACAGCAUGGUCCUCUUUGUUGCUCUCCAGUUUUCUCAACAGGUAAAAGGUAAACCAACAAGGGACUGUGGAUCUGUGUAAACAGUUCCUGGCAGACUGAUUACCCUUUUCCAGCACAACGUAGUAUGAUGCCGAUCACUGUGUCUAUGAAUUACAAACACAUCACUCAAGCCCGCUAGGUUUUUGUUUUUUUUUUUUUUUAUGCUAAUCCCCUCUGGUGUGAAUUUUUGCUCUUGGUUGGAAAAUAGCUCUAUUCAGCAGCCACCUUCCAUCUUAAAAUCCUUUUCAUGCCGGUGAGCUUUGCUCUAACCUCAGCUCUCAUUUUUGUUGCCCCCCCCCCCCCCAUUUUAAUGAGCAUUAAAUAAGUUUUCGGUCUUCUUCCGUCUGCAUUCUUUGCAGUGGGGGGUGAAAGAGGCAGCCAGAUCCUCCCUUCACUGAGGGGUCAGGGAAGAUGUGUGGUGUGGGGUGACACAGGACCUGGCUGUGCCUUGAAGGUGUUCAGGGAUUUGGGUGUCCUAGACAGGAGCAUGCGCGCUGUUGAGGUCUCAUGGGGACCAUGGUUGCUACAGGAAAGCCUGUGAGUUGCACGGCAAGGGGGAACCGUCUCUCUGGGAGGCCCCAGCUGCCUUCCCUGCAUGAUCCUGUUGUCUCCAGAUUGUGCGGCUUCCAUCCAUUGCAUCCCUGACGCUUGGGCACUGGGCACAAAAGGACAAAGGACCUGAGCCCUUGGGGAAGCAAUCACUUCAAAGGGACUAGAAGCAGGGAUGCCCUUUUGAAGGGGAUGGGCCAACUGCCUCUGGAGAAUAGCAGUUUGGGCCUGGCUAGUGACCAUGGUAGUCUCAGUGCUAUUCCACCAACGCCCCUCGCUGCGCCAUUCUAGUAGAGCAGCUUCCUAUUUCGCUGAUCCUACCCCUUCACUCAGAGCAAAACAUGCCUCUAAAGCAGUGGUUCUCAAACUUUUAUACUGGCAACCCCUUUC